CAGAUGCAAUGAAGCUCCGACCCAAGAUGGACGUAGGCUAGAAUCUUCCCGGAGUCCAUUCAGCUCCUGCAUUGCUUUGGGGAUACCAGUCAUUUGGCAUUUCCUGUGUUGAAUUGAUGUGGGCAAGGUUCAACAAGUCAAAGAGAGGAAGUCGGGAAGUGUGCUGGAGUGCGGGCUCUAAUGGCAGCUCUGAACACGCAAAGGGAAACCUCUAAAACGAAGAUGUUCCUUGGCAGAACUGACUUUUGAAAACCAUUUAAAGGGGCUGGAGAGAUGGCUCAAAUGGUUAAGAGGAUUGUCUGCUCUUCCAAAGGUCCUGAGUUUAAUUCUC